GUUGAACGCUGGCGGCAGGCCUAACACAUGCAAGUCGAGCGGAUGAAGGGAGCUUGCUCCUGGAUUCAGCGGCGGACGGGUAAGUAAUGCCUCGGAAUCUGCCUGGUAGUGGGGGAUAACGUCCGGAAACGGGCGCUAAUACCGCAUACGUCCUGGGGGAGAAAGUGGGGGAUCUUCGGACCUCACGCUAUCAGAUGAGCCUAGGUCGGCUUAGCUAGUUGGUGGGGUAAAGGCCUACCAAGGCGACGAUCCGUAACUGAUCUGCGAGGAUGAUCAGUCACACUGGAACUGGAACACGGGCCAGACUCCGACGGGAGGCAGCAGUGGGGAAUAUUGGACGGUGGGAGAAAGCCUGAUCCAGCCAUGCCGCGUGUGUGAAGGAGGUCUUCGGAUGUUGAAGCACUUGAAGUUGGGAGGAAGGGCAGUAAGUUAAGACCUUGCUGUUUUGACGUUACCAACAGAAUAAGCACCGGCUAACUUCGUG
rnacentral:rRNA from 1 species